rnacentral:rRNA from 1 species
GACGAACGCUGGCGGCGUGCCUAAUACAUGCAAGUAGAACGCACAGUUUAUACCGUAGCUUGCUACACCAUAGACUGUGAGUUGCGAACGGGUGAGUAACGCGUAGGUAACCUGCCUGGUAGCGGGGGAUAACUAUUGGAAACGAUAGCUAAUACCGCAUAAUAUUGAUUAUUGCAUGAUAAUUGAUUGAAAGAUGCUAUUGCAUCACUACCAGAUGGACCUGCGUUGUAUUAGCUAGUAGGUGAGGUAACGGCUCACCUAGGCGACGAUACAUAGCCGACCUGAGAGGGUGAUCGGCCACACUGGGACUGAGACACGGCCCAGACUCCUACGGGAGGCAGCAGUAGGGAAUCUUCGGCAAUGGACGAAAGUCUGACCGAGCAACGCCGCGUGAGUGAAGAAGGUUGUCGGAUCGUAAAGCUAUGUUGUAAGAGAAGAACGGGUGUGAGAGUGGAAAGUUCACACUGUGACGGUAUCUUACCAGAAAGGGACGGCUAACUACGUG